rnacentral:rRNA from 1 species
UACGAGGGGGGCGAGCGUUGUUCGGAAUUAUUGGGCGUAAAGGGUGCGUAGGCGGCCUGACAAGUCUGAUGUGAAAUCCCUGGGUUCAACCCAGGGCCUGCAUCGGAAACUGUCGGGCUUGAGUAUGGGAGAGGUGAGUGGAAUUUCCGGUGUAGCGGUGAAAUGCGUAGAUAUCAGGAGGAACACCUGUGGUGUAGACAGCUUACUGGACCACUUCUGACGCUGAGACACGAAAGCGUGGGUAGCAAACAGG